UACGUAGGUGGCAAGCGUUGUCCGGAUUUACUGGGCGUAAAGAGCGCGCAGGCGGUCGUUCAAGUCGAGUGUGAAAGCCCCCGGCUCAACUGGGGAGGGUCACUCGAUACUGAUCGACUCGAAGGCAGAAGAGGGAAGCGGAAUUCCCGGUGUAGUGGUGAAAUGCGUAGAUAUCGGGAAGAACACCCGUGGCGAAGGCGGCUCUCUGGGACGGUACUGACGCUGAGGCACGAAGGUCAGGGGAGCAAACGGG
rnacentral:rRNA from 1 species